rnacentral:tRNA from 1 species
AGGGGUGUAGUUUAAUUGAAAAAAAACAAUGGACUUAAAAUUCAUCAUAUGUGGGUUUGAGUCCCACCUCCCCUA